UACGGGGGGGGCAAGCGUUGUUCGGAAUUACUGGGCGUAAAGGGCUCGUAGGCGGCCAACUAAGUCGGACGUGAAAUCCCUCGGCUUAACCGGGGAACUGCGUCCGAUACUGGAUGGCUUGAGUUUGGGAGAGGGAUGCGGAAUUCCAGGUGUAGCGGUGAAAUGCGUAGAUAUCUGGAGGAACACCGGUGGCGAAGGCGGCAUCCUGGACCAACACUGACGCUGAUGAGCGAAAGCGUGGGGAGCGAACAGG
rnacentral:rRNA from 1 species